AGGGGUGUGGUGUAGUGGUAACGCGUCUGUCUCCAAAACAGAAGACUAGGGUUCGAUUCCUUGCACCCCUG
rnacentral:tRNA from 1 species